rnacentral:rRNA from 1 species
GACGAACGCUGGCGGCGUGCUUAACACAUGCAAGUCGAACGAGGUUCAAUCAGUCGCAAGACCGAGGAAGAUCUAGUGGCGAACGGGUGCGUAACACGUGAGGAACCUAUCCCAGUCUCUGGAAUAACAGGUGGAAACACCUGCUAAUACCGGAUGCCGUUGGACCAUCGCAUGGUGGUCCAACGAAAGAUUUAUCGGAUUGGGAGGGCCUCGCGGCCUAUCAGCUUGNGGUGAGGUAACGGCUCACCAAGGCGUCGACGGGUAGCUGGUCUGAGAGGAUGAUCAGCCACACUGGGACUGAGACACGGCCCAGACUCCUACGGGAGGCAGCAGUGGGGAAUCUUGCACAAUGGGCGAAAGCCUGAUGCAGCAACGCCGCGUGCGGGAAGAAGGCCCUAGGGUUGUAAACCGCUUUCAGCAGGGAA